rnacentral:rRNA from 1 species
AAACCAACAGGGAUUGCCUUAGUAGCGGCGAGUGAAGCGGCAAAAGCUCAAAUUUGAAAUCUGGCACCUUCGGUGUCCGAGUUGUAAUUUGAAGAUUGUAACCUUGGGGUUGGCUCUUGUCUAUGUUUCUUGGAACAGGACGUCACAGAGGGUGAGAAUCCCGUGCGAUGAGAUGCCCAAUCCUAUGUAAGGUGCUUUCGAAGAGUCGAGUUGUUUGGGAAUGCAGCUCUAAGUGGGUGGUAAAUUCCAUCUAAAGCUAAAUAUUGGCGAGAGACCGAUAGCGAACAAGUACAGUGAUGGAAAGAUGAAAAGAACUUUGAAAAGAGAGUGAAAAAGUACGUGAAAUUGUUGAAAGGGAAGGGUUUGAGAUCAGACUCGAUAUUUUGUGAGCCUUGCCUUCGUGGCGGGGUGACCCGCAGCUUAUCGGGCCAGCAUCGGUUUGGGCGGUAGGAUAAUGGCGUAGGAAUGUGACUUUGCUUCGGUGAAGUGUUAUAGCCUGCGUUGAUGCUGCCUGCCUAGACCGAGGACUGCGAUUUUAUCAAGGAUGCUGGCAUAAUGAUCCCAAACCGCC